rnacentral:rRNA from 1 species
UAGGGAAUCUUCCGCAAUGGACGCAAGUCUGACGGAGCAACGCCGCGUGAGUGAAGAAGGAUUUCGGUUCGUAAAACUCUGUUGUUAGAGAAGAACAGCGCAUAGAGUAACUGUUAUGCGUGUGACGGUAUCUAACCAGAAAGCCACGGCUAACUACGUGCCAGCAGCCGCGGUAAUACGUAGGUGGCAAGCGUUGUCUGGAUUUAUUGGGCGUAAAGCGAGCGCAGGCGGUCAAUUAAGUCUGAUGUGAAAGCCCCCGGCUCAACCGGGGAGGGUCAUUGGAAACUGGUUGACUUGAGUGCAGAAGAGGAGAGUGGAAUUCCAUGUGUAGCGGUGAAAUGCGUAGAUAUAUGGAGGAACACCAGUGGCGAAGGCGACUCUCUGGUCUGUAACUGACGCUGAGGUUCGAAAGCGUGGGUAGCAAACAGG